AUACUCGAUACUUUAUUUGUACUGACAUCCCUUUUGCCUGGGGAUGCUGCGUUUCAUGCCUGCAGGUCCUGAUAGACAGGUUGAGAGUUACCCAAGUAGGCUAUCAUCUCAGCGGAAGAUGUUGGUGCGCUCCAUUUGCUCCAGAGUUACUUAUUUGGUCAGUAUGAUUCAGACGUGUAUUGUUUAAUAUGGUGGGGCCCUGUCCCGACCAUUAUGGUAUUUAUCUACUCUUCGAGGCUUGUAGACAUAUUCCAUGUACGUAAAAGAUUGUAUGGCCUUGUCGGCCUAUGUUUAGUGUACGAGUAAUCAUUUUGGUCUUAUAGGCCCAAGUUGGUAUUUCAUGUUUUAUUCUACUUAUCUCACGACAGCCUCUCAGGCUCAUUUACCUAUGAUAGUAUGAUACAAGAGAUACGUUACAUUGGUACUCAGUUGAGUAAGGUACCGGGUGCCCGUCGUGGCCCAUCGGUUUGGGUCGUGACAAUAAUCUCGUGUUUUAGUCGCUUAUUGCACUACAAUUUACUGCACUUUAAUUGAGUUUGAGCUUUAAUCACUAGUGUUUUGCACAAAUUGUGUGUUUUAUGCCUUGUAGGAGUGAUUCCGAGCUAUGUGGAUGAUAUGGAAUUAAUCCUAGUAAUUUGGAGCCUUGAAGUGUGAGUAAAAGCCCAAGGGAAUAAGCUGGGAUCGCGUUCGGGGGUCGAGAACCACGUCGGGGUAGUUUAAAAGCAAGAAAAAUCUGUACUCUGAGAAACAUUCACAGCCGCGGCACGUGGAGCGGCGCAUAGGGCGCCGCGGCUGCACAUUUUUCUGCUCCUGUCAAAUUACAAGCUCUCUGGAUUUCCCCACAACCGCCCCGCCUGGCGCGUCUCCCCAUGCGGUGUGCCUGUGCAAUUUUUACAGAGUUAGUAUCCAAGUUCGCGCAGGAAAAGGUAUUUUCGUCUAGGCCCGACCCUACUUAGUAUAAAUACAUAUAAAAUGGUAUUUUUUGGACUUUUGACACAUCUUAGACCUGAGGAAGCCAAGGACGAGGUGGAGAAGCAAAAGCUCAAGGAUUUCAUCAUCCAAUCCUUACUCAAGACAAGAGUAUGGAUCGUUUAAUGUUUUCCUUUAACUUAAACAUUGUUAUGAUGAAUUACUCCAUAUCCAUGGAGUAGUUCUCUUUAGGGUUUGAUGGAUUUGGUGUCUUGAUACUUGUUUGUGGAUAAUUAACUCUAGUUUUUAUGUAUUGAAUCGUUUUGGAUGUUUUAACUGUUAUAUCUAUAUUCACCUGUUCAUGUAAUCGAGAGAGGCAUAGCUUGUGAUAUUGUU
rnacentral:lncRNA from 1 species